AUCAGGUCACCUGUCGCGACUCGCGGUCUGUUUGCAGUGAUCAAUCUAUCCGUUGCUGCGUCGCGUUACUUUCUUCAAAAAAACGAAACAUCUCCCAAACAGUUUAUCACUAAUGUCUCAAUAUACGGUGAACCGCGAGGUCACGAACACUUUUCGAAGUAAAACGAACCACAAGAUCUGGAGCAGUUGUCAAGAAGAAUAAACAGAUUCUGUGAGUAUCCCAAUUGAACCAUGAAGAAGAAACUGCGAACUGUAAGUCCAGAUCUUUCCUUUUUGGGGCAUCAUUUUGGCCCCCUGUUUGGUCUGGUUGGUCAGGGUCGAUGGGUGAAGAUUGAUAUAGUUAAAAGUAGUGCAGUAUAGGUUCAAAGUGAAUGGUGUACCACUAGUUGGAUCUCUAUGGGUAAAGCUAUAACAUACUCCAGGGUUGUGUUCAGACUUUCUUCUGCCCACUUCACCACUUCUUCCCUGAACCUUGCAUCACUUUACGUGUGUGUUGUCUUACUGAUGCGGGUCUGGUCUGAGCGAUCAGAGAUGCAUGCUAGGGUACUGUGCUGUCUGAAGUCUACAGUUCUGUAGACGUGCCCUCUCAGGGGAAACCAAGUGUUUAAGAGGCCGUCGUAACGUCGGUUACGUGAAGGGGAAAGUCUAUCAAGAUGGUGACGGGACUCCCCUGAGGAGAAACGCAUGGGGCAAGAUGUGAGGGCUCCUCCUCUCAGCAACUAGAACACAACCUGGUUCCUGCACCGGAGAACCAUGGAGCACAUUUCAACGUUCUCCUCCAUACAUCUUGAAGCCGUAGCGACGGUUUCUCUACCUCCACAGCUGGAGGAGAGCACAAUCGCAGCUCAGAAUGGGUUCAUGUUGGGGUCUUUCCAG
ensembl:lncRNA